rnacentral:rRNA from 1 species
AAAGGAAUAGACGGGGGCCCGCACAAGCGGUGGAGCAUGUGGUUUAAUUCGAUGCAACGCGAAGAACCUUACCGGGAUUUGACAUCCCCUGCGAUCUUUCGAAAGAAGGAGUUCUCUUCGGAGACAGGGAGACAGGUGGUGCAUGGUUGUCGUCAGCUCGUGUCGUGAGAUGUUAGGUUAAGUCCUGCAACGAGCGCAACCCCUAUUUUUAGUUGCUAACACUUCGGGUGAGCACUCUAAAGAGACUGCCGGUGAUAAACCGGAGGAAGGUGGGGAUGACGUCAAAUCAUCAUGCCCUUUAUAUCCCGGGCUACACACGUGCUACAAUGGCUCAAACAAAGGGAAGCGACCUGGCGACAGGUAGCGGAUCCCGUAAAAUGGGUCACAGUUCGGAUUGCAGGCUGCAACUCGCCUGCAUGAAGUAGGAAUCGCUAGUAAUCGCAGGUCAGCAUACUGCGGUGAAUACGUUCCCGGGCCUUGUACACACCGCCCGU